GUCCACGCCGUAAACGAUGUCGACUUGGAGGUUGUGCCCUUGAGGCGUGGCUUCCGGAGCUAACGCGUUAAGUCGACCGCCUGGGGAGUACGGCCGCAAGGUUAAAACUCAAAUGAAUUGACGGGGCCCGCACAAGCGGUGGAGCAUGUGGUUUAAUUCGAUGCAACGCGAAGAACCUUACCUACUCUUGACAUCCAGAGAACUUAGCAGAGAUGCUUUGGUGCCUUCGGGAACUCUGAGACAGGUGCUGCAUGGCUGUCGU
rnacentral:rRNA from 1 species